rnacentral:rRNA from 1 species
AUGGAGUCAUCUUCCUCCACGGUUGGGAGGUCCAUGGAUGAGACCGAGUUCGUUCGGUCGCUGGAGAUACAGAGAGAUGUCAGGUCGGCGAGCGCCUCGAUCUCGAGGUCGAAGGCGCGGGACGAGAGCAAGUGGCGGAACUCGUCCUCGAGCCGCGCCAUCGUGACCUGCACGGCGCUGCACCCGCCUCCACCAGCCGCCGCCCCCGACCCGGACGACAGCCGCCGCGGGCUCCCGACCACCGAGGGGGACGACGGAGCGAGGCGGCGGAUGUUAUCCACAGCACGGAGGAACCGCUCCGACUCGGUUCGAUCCCCUGCUCCGUCGAACAGCAUCGGCUCGCCCCCAACCGCCGCCGCCGCCGAAGCCAACGACGAGUCCAACCGUAUCACCACUUGCUCCGCCGCCUCCAGCUCCGCCGGUCCAUCCAUAGUAUACAGUUGA